rnacentral:rRNA from 1 species
UACACUCCUGCGGGAGGCAGCAGUGGGGAAUAUUGGACAAUGGGCGAAAGCCUGAUCCAGCAAUGCCGCGUGAGUGAUGAAGGCCUUAGGGUUGUAAAGCUCUUUUACCCGGGAUGAUAAUGACAGUACCGGGAGAAUAAGCCCCGGCUAACUCCGUGCCAGCAGCCGCGGUAAUACGGAGGGGGCUAGCGUUGUUCGGAAUUACUGGGCGUAAAGCGCGCGUAGGCGGCUUUGUAAGUUAGAGGUGAAAGCCCGGAGCUCAACUUCGGAAUUGCCUUUAAGACUGCAUCGCUAGAAUCGUGGAGAGGUGAGUGGAAUUCCGAGUGUAGAGGUGAAAUUCGUAGAUAUUCGGAAGAACACCAGUGGCGAAGGCGACUCACUGGACACGUAUUGACGCUGAGGUGCGAAAGCGUUGGGAGCAAACAGGAUUAGAAACCCCGGUAGUCCCA